CAGCCGCCGCGGUAACACGGAGGGGGCUAGCGUUGUUCGGAAUUACUGGGCGUAAAGCGCACGUAGGCGGCUUGGUAAGUUAGAGGUGAAAGCCUGGAGCUCAACUCCAGAAUUGCCUUUAAGACUGCCGAGCUAGCAGGUGAGAGAGGUAAGUGGAAUUCCGAGUGUAGAGGUGAAAUUCGUAGAUAUUCGGAAGAACACCAGUGGCGAAGGCGGCUUACUGGCUCAUACUGGACGCUGAGGUGCGAAAGCGUGGGGAGCAAACAGGAUUAGAUACCCCGGUAGUCCCUGUCUCUUAUAA
rnacentral:rRNA from 1 species